GGGUUGUGAGGUUAAGCGACUAAGCGUACACGGUGGAUGCCCUGGCAGUCAGAGGCGAUGAAGGGCGUGCUAAUCUGCGAUAAGCGCCGGUAAGGUGAUAUGAACCGUUAUAACCGGCGAUACCCGAAUGGGGAAACCCAGUGUGACUCGUCACACUAUCAUUAACUGAAUCCAUAGGUUAAUGAGGCGAACCGGGGGAACUGAAACAUCUAAGUACCCCGAGGAAAAGAAAUCAACCGAGAUUCCCCCAGUAGCGGCGAGCGAACGGGGAGGAGCCCAGAGCCUGAAUCAGCAUGUGUGUUAGUGGAAGCGUCUGGAAAGGCGCGCGAUACAGGGUGACAGCCCCGUACACAAAAGCGCAUGUGCUGUGAGCUCGAUGAGUAGGGCGGGACACGUGGUAUCCUGUCUGAAUAUGGGGGGACCAUCCUCCAAGGCUAAAUACUCCUGAUUGACCGAUAGUGAACCAGUACCGUGAGGGAAAGGCGAAAAGAACCCCGGCGAGGGGAGUGAAAAAGAACCUGAAACCGUGUACGUACAAGCAGUGGGAGCACCCUUUGGGUGUGACUGCGUACCUUUUGUAUAAUGGGUCAGCGACUUAUAUUCUGUAGCAAGGUUAACCGAAUAGGGGAGCCGGAGGGAAACCGAGUCUUAAUUGGGCGUUAAGUUGCAGGGUAUAGACCCGAAACCCGGUGAUCUAGCCAUGGGCAGGUUGAAGGUUGGGUAACACUAACUGGAGGACCGAACCGACUAAUGUUGAAAAAUUAGCGGAUGACCUGUGGCUGGGGGUGAAAGGCCAAUCAAACCGGGAGAUAGCUGGUUCUCCCCGAAAGCUAUUUAGGUAGCGCCUCGUGAAUUCAUCUCCGGGGGUAGAGCACUGUUUCGGCUAGGGGGCCAUCCCGGCUUACCAACCCGAUGCAAACUGCGAAUACCGGAGAAUGUUAUCACGGGAGACACACGGCGGGUGCUAACGUCCGUCGUGAAGAGGGAAACAACCCAGACCGCCAGCUAAGGUCCCAAAGUCAUGGUUAAGUGGGAAACGAUGUGGGAAGGCCCAGACAGCCAGGAUGUUGGCUUAGAAGCAGCCAUCAUUUAAAGAAAGCGUAAUAGCUCACUGGUCGAGUCGGCCUGCGCGGAAGAUGUAACGGGGCUAAACCAUGCACCGAAGCUGCGGCAGCGACACUGUGUGUUGUUGGGUAGGGGAGCGUUCUGUAAGCCUGUGAAGGUGUGUCGUGAGGCAUGCUGGAGGUAUCAGAAGUGCGAAUGCUGACAUAAGUAACGAUAAAGCGGGUGAAAAGCCCGCUCGCCGGAAGACCAAGGGUUCCUGUCCAACGUUAAUCGGGGCAGGGUGAGUCGACCCCUAAGGCGAGGCCGAAAGGCGUAGUCGAUGGGAAACGGGUUAAUAUUCCCGUACUUGGUGUUACUGCGAAGGGGGGACGGAGAAGGCUAUGUUGGCCGGGCGACGGUUGUCCCGGUUUAAGCGUGUAGGCUGGUUUUCCAGGCAAAUCCGGAAAAUCAAGGCUGAGGCGUGAUGACGAGGCACUACGGUGCUGAAGCAACAAAUGCCCUGCUUCCAGGAAAAGCCUCUAAGCAUCAGGUAACAUCAAAUCGUACCCCAAACCGACACAGGUGGUCAGGUAGAGAAUACCAAGGCGCUUGAGAGAACUCGGGUGAAGGAACUAGGCAAAAUGGUGCCGUAACUUCGGGAGAAGGCACGCUGACACGUAGGUGAAGUGAUUUACUCAUGGAGCUGAAGUCAGUCGAAGAUACCAGCUGGCUGCAACUGUUUAUUAAAAACACAGCACUGUGCAAACACGAAAGUGGACGUAUACGGUGUGACGCCUGCCCGGUGCCGGAAGGUUAAUUGAUGGGGUCAGCGCAAGCGAAGCUCCUGAUCGAAGCCCCGGUAAACGGCGGCCGUAACUAUAACGGUCCUAAGGUAGCGAAAUUCCUUGUCGGGUAAGUUCCGACCUGCACGAAUGGCGUAAUGAUGGCCAGGCUGUCUCCACCCGAGACUCAGUGAAAUUGAACUCGCUGUGAAGAUGCAGUGUACCCGCGGCAAGACGGAAAGACCCCGUGAACCUUUACUAUAGCUUGACACUGAACAUUGAGCCUUGAUGUGUAGGAUAGGUGGGAGGCUUUGAAGUGUGGACGCCAGUCUGCAUGGAGCCGACCUUGAAAUACCACCCUUUAAUGUUUGAUGUUCUAACGUGGACCCGUUACCCGGGUUGCGGACAGUGUCUGGUGGGUAGUUUGACUGGGGCGGUCUCCUCCUAAAGAGUAACGGAGGAGCACGAAGGUUGGCUAAUCCUGGUCGGACAUCAGGAGGUUAGUGCAAUGGCAUAAGCCAGCUUGACUGCGAGCGUGACGGCGCGAGCAGGUGCGAAAGCAGGUCAUAGUGAUCCGGUGGUUCUGAAUGGAAGGGCCAUCGCUCAACGGAUAAAAGGUACUCCGGGGAUAACAGGCUGAUACCGCCCAAGAGUUCAUAUCGACGGCGGUGUUUGGCACCUCGAUGUCGGCUCAUCACAUCCUGGGGCUGAAGUAGGUCCCAAGGGUAUGGCUGUUCGCCAUUUAAAGUGGUACGCGAGCUGGGUUUAGAACGUCGUGAGACAGUUCGGUCCCUAUCUGCCGUGGGCGCUGGAGAACUGAGGGGGGCUGCUCCUAGUACGAGAGGACCGGAGUGGACGCAUCACUGGUGUUCGGGUUGUCAUGCCAAUGGCACUGCCCGGUAGCUAAAUGCGGAAGAGAUAAGUGCUGAAAGCAUCUAAGCACGAAACUUGCCCCGAGAUGAGUUCUCCCUGAGACUUAAAGUCUCCUGAAGGAACGUUGAAGACGACGACGUUGAUAGGCCGGGUGUGUAAGCGCAGCGAUGCGUUGAGCUAACCGGUACUAAUGAACCGUGAGGCUUAACCUUACAACGCCGAAG
rnacentral:rRNA from 1 species